rnacentral:rRNA from 1 species
GAAACUCGUGCUAAUAGUGGAUAAGACUACGAAUUCAUAAGGUAUGUAGUAAAAGGUGGCCACUUCAUGAAAGCUACCGCUUAGAGAUGAGCCUGCGCACCAUUAGCUAGUUGGUGGGGUAAGAGCCCACCAAGGCUGAGAUGGUUAGCUGGUCUGAGAGGAUGAUCAGCCACACUGGAACUGGGACACGGUCCAGACUCCUACGGGAGGCAGCAGUGGGGAAUAUUGCGCAAUGGGGUAACCCCUGACGCAGCGACGUCGCGUGAGUGAAGAAGGCCUUCGGGUCGUANAGCUCUGUCAGGUGGGAAGAAGUUCUAGGUUUUUAAUAAGGAUUUAGAUUGACGGUACCACCAGAGGAAGCACCGGCUAACUCUGUGCCAGCAGCCGCGGUAAAACGGAGGGUGCGAGCGUUGUUCGGAAUUACUGGGCGUAAAGGGCGAGCAGGUGGUGAUAUAAGUCAGGUGUGAANUUCCUUGGCUUAACCAAGGGCGUGCAUUUGAAAACUGUAUCCCUUGAGUACGGGAG